UACGUAGGGCGCAAGCGUUGUCCGGAAUUAUUGGGCGUAAAGAGCUCGUAGGCGGCUUGUCACGUCGGAUGUGAAAGCCCGAGGCUUAACCUCGGGUCUGCAUUCGAUACGGGCUAGCUAGAGUGUGGUAGGGGAGAUCGGAAUUCCUGGUGUAGCGGUGAAAUGCGCAGAUAUCAGGAGGAACACCGGUGGCGAAGGCGGAUCUCUGGGCCUUACCUGACGCUGAGGCGCGAAAGCUAGGGGAGCGAACAGG
rnacentral:rRNA from 1 species